AACCUUAAAAUAAGGACCAAGAAUGAAAGAUCUUUCAAUGUUGGACUUCAAUAUAAGUUUAAUCUUUAGCUUUUACAUGUUACAUAUCAAUAAAGAAAGCGAUGUGGUGGUUGAAUGAACAUAUCAACUGAAGUCACUGACAGUGAAUUAUAUAAAAGUUGUUUAAUUUUUGUAAUUCUGAUUCAUUGGCUGCGUAAUUCAGGUUAGAUGGAAGGAGUUUUAAAUUGAUUUAAUGAUGGUUCAUGCAGGCUAAUUGUGUGGUAUGAUUAAUUGUUUCCUUGGAUCUGUUAUACUCCUAUAACGCUUGAUAAUAGUUUGUAUUUUCAUCAUUUUAUCGAUUGACAUACUUAAAUUUUUCUGUAGUGACUACUAUAUACUUUUUUGAGCAUUAGAUAAUGAAUCCAUAGCCUUUGAACAUUCGGGCAGAUAUUGUGAUGAAAUGUUUUCAGUUUGAUGGACUUCUUCACAUUAAGGUGUUUUAGUCUCAUUUUUUAAACUUUUAUCUUUUAAUAACUUCCAAUUUUGAUACUAAUUUAUAAUUUGUAAAUCAACGCUCACGGCUGGCUUUCACUGAACAAUUACAGGUUAGUUAUUUGAAAUA